rnacentral:lncRNA from 1 species
GGAAGGAGACAGGGAUACUGGAGUGAUGGAGGUAGAUAUGUAUAGGGGACAGGGAUACUGGAGUGAUGGAGGUAGAUGUGUAUAGGGGACAGGGAUACUGGAGUGAUGGAGGUAGAUGUGUAUAGGGGGAAGGGGACAGGGAUACUGGAGUGAUGGAGGUAGAUAUGUAUAGGGGGAAGGAGACAGGGAUACUGGAGUGAUGGAGGUAGAUGUGUAUAGGGGACAGGGAUACUGGAGUGAUGGAGGUAGAUGUGUAUAGGGGACAGGGAUACUGGAGUGAUGGAGGUAGAUAUGUAUAGAGGGAAGGGGACAGGGAUACUGGAGUGAUGGAGGUAGAUAUGUAUAGGGGACAGGGAUACUGGAGUGAUGGAGGUAGAUAUGUAUAGGGGACAGGGAUACUGGAGUGAUGGAGGUAGAUACAGUGGGCUCCAAAAUUACUGGCAAUGCACAAACAAUAUUUCAAAAUAUAUAUAAACAAUAUAAUUAUAGAGAUAAACUCAA